rnacentral:rRNA from 1 species
CCUACGGGAGGCAGCAGUGAGGAAUAUUGGUCAAUGGGCGCGAGCCUGAACCAGCCAAGUAGCGUGAAGGAUGACUGCCCUAUGGGUUGUAAACUUCUUUUAUAAAGGAAUAAAACGUUGCACGUGUGCCUUUUUGCAUGUACUUUAUGAAUAAGGAUCGGCUAACUCCGUGCCAGCAGCCGCGGUAAUACGGAGGAUCCGAGCGUUAUCCGGAUUUAUUGGGUUUAAAGGGAGCGUAGGUGUGUUGUUAAGUCAGUUGUGAAAGUUUGCGGCUCAACCGUAAAAUUGCAGUUGAUACUGGCAGUCUUGAGUACAGUAGAGGUAAGCGGAAUUCGUGGUGUAGCGGUGAAAUGCUUAGAUAUCACGAAGAACCCCGAUUGCGAAGGCAGCUUACUAGACUGUGACUGACAUUGAGGCUCGAAAGUGUGGGUAUCAAACAGGAUUAGAUACCCCAGUAGUC